CUUGUUUAGACGACACUGUUGCUGCGCUUUUGAGCCCUGCGUUACAUUUUUUCCCCCUUCUAAUGUCUGCCGUCAUCUAUCAAAAUGCAAUGAUACGCUAUUUUGAAAGCGGUGUAAUGGCGUAAUGCACAUAAAAUACGCAAAGGACAUUCUUGCCAGAUUCAGGGAUUUUGAGACUACCCGGCCAUUUUCGCCUGGAAGAGGGAAGAAGAUCUGUUAUGUUGUCUACUUUCCGGUUUUCUUUACCUGGCAGUCAAAACUCCGGGGCUCUCAACGUGUGCGGGGGUUUCCCAGCCGCCAGGGGAUGUUGCGUUGGAAAGGCAGGUUGCUGGUAAAGACGUGCUGCUGCUAUAGCUACCUGCUGUUGCGGUAGUGUUUCGUAUGCUGAUGAUAGCUACCUCCCUAGCUAGUCUAAAUAAGGUUGUAAUCUUCGGGUGUUUAUUGCUGCGCUUUUGAGCACCGAUUGCAUAUUUUCUUAACUCAUGUAUCUACCGUCAUUUAGCAAGACGUAAUGAUUAGCAGUUUUGAAAUUCCCGCAUGCAAGAGGCGUAAUGGCGUAGUAAUUCACGUAAGGUACGCAAAAGCCAUUGUUGCCAGAUUGAGGGAUUUUGAGACUAUUUAGCCCAUUUAUUUAAUGGAAGUGGAUGAAGAUCGGUUUCGUUGCCUAUUACGGGAUUCCUUUACCUGGGCGAGGCCCUUUGAGCGUGACGCCCCCCCCGCCACGCCACGCCACGCCAAUGACGCCAACCACGUGACAGAGGAGCAAUCCAUGAAAUGGGACAAUUGUGACAACAGCAUGUUCAAAAGCAGGCACCAUCGCAUGCACCCAACCCCCAACCACCCACCUAAUGGGCGCGCACACAGACACGCACACACACACACACACAC
ensembl:lncRNA